UCACGUAAAUCUUUAAUAGUCGAACAGACUAUUUACUUAAGCUUCUACACCUAACAUACAAUUUAAUUCAACAUCGAGGUCACAAACUUAACUAUUAAUAAGAACUUGCUAAUUAAAUAAUGCUGUUAUCCCUAGAGUAACUUUUUUAAAAUAAACAAACUAAUCAAAAAUUUAUUUCUUCAAUAAUUGCCCCAAUCAAAAACUCUUCUUAAUUUAUAGCUUCUAGGGUCUUCUCGUCCCAAAGAUUCAUAAAAGCAUUUUUACUUUUAAUUUAAAUUCAAAUUUACUUAAUAAAACCUUCCUUUCAGUAUCAGCCCUUCAUUCCAGCCUCCAAUUAAAAAA
rnacentral:rRNA from 1 species